rnacentral:rRNA from 1 species
ACGCGAGACUUAGGAAACUCAAAGGAAUUGACAGGGAAACGCUAGUAUAAGAAUACCCGCUAACUUGUGCCGGCAGCCGCUUUAAUACGGAGGGUGUAAGCGUUAAUCGGAAUUACUGGGCGUAAAGCGCACACAGGGGAUUUUUUAAGUCAAAUUUGAAAUCCCCGCGCUUAACAUGUGAACGGUUUUGAAACUGGCUAUCUAGAGUCUUGUAGAGGGGGGUAGAAUUCCAGGUGUAGCGGUGAAAUGCCUAAAGAUCUGGAGGAAUACCGGUGGCGAAGGGAGCCCCCUGAACAAAGACUGAUCUUUUUUUUGAUUCGUGGGGAGGUACAGGUUUAGAUACCCUGGUGUGGCGCUAAAACGACGUCGACUUGAAGGUAGUGCCAUGAGAGUGUCUCCCCCACCUACGUUUAUUUAUUCCCGGGGAGUUUGUUUUAAUGUUAAACUCAAAUGUUUGAC